UUCGAGUAACUUUUGAAGCUGGUAUUGCUGAGGUCCUGCAAUUUGAAACCAGGGGAGUUGGAUCGAAACUUGGAAAAGCAGCCUUGAGAAUCACUUUGAGCAGAAUAUCUUGACCUUGUGAGCUGGUUUUGGGUAUACUUCAACCAGUAGGAAGUGGAAUUACAAGUUUGGAAUCUAAACAACAGGUUCGCAGCAGCAUAGUAGUUUUUGAACUGAAAAUUGAGAGCUUUCGAAGGUUGAUUCUAGGUGUUCUAACCUGAACCGAAGCAAGAAUUCCAACUUUGACACUAUUUUAGGUGAGAAUCUACCUAAAUGAGGUCUUUAUGCGAGCGAUUCGCGUAGAAAUGUGAGAUAUGCUCCUAGUUGAUUUUCGAAUAUUACUAGGGUGCUUGGAGGCUUCGGGCUACCUUUGCCUGCAGGAUUGAUUUGAAGCGUCGAUUAGUAGGUGGGUGAAU